rnacentral:rRNA from 1 species
CGAUGGAAAACAGGUUAAUAUUCCUGUACUGAUUUUUAAGUGGUACCGAGGGACGGAGAAGGGAACGGUUGGUCAAUAUUGGAUGUUGACGGAAACGUUCAAGGUGAUGAGAGAUAGAAUAAAAACUAUUCUUGAGCUGAGGCGUGAUACGGUUUGAUUCCCUGUAUGAGAGCUUUGCUCAAAUUCAAAAUGAAACUCAAUUAGUUGUCAAACUUCCUAGAAAAGCUCGAACUUCCAAUACUUAAAAAUUACCCGUACCCGAAACCGACACAGGUAGGUAGGUAGAGUAUACCAAGGGGCGCGAGAUAACUCUCUCUAAGGAACUCGGCAAAAUGGCCCCGUAACUUCGGGAGAAGGGGUGCCCUCAAUUAAGAGGGCCGCAGUGACCAGGCCCAGGCGACUGUUUACCAAAAACACAGGUCUCCGCUAAGUCGUAAGACAAUAUAUGGGGGCUGACGCCUGCCCAGUGCCGGAAGGUGAAGGAAGUUGGUUACUUGAACAUUUGUUUGAGAAAGCUGACAACCGAAGCCCCGGUGAACGGCGGCCGUAACUAUAACGGUCCUAAGGUAGCGAAAUUCCUUGUCAGGUAAGUUCUGACCCGCACGAAAGGUGUAACGAUCUGGGCACUGUCUCGGAGAGAGGCUCGGUGAAAUAGACAUGUCCGUGAAGAUGCGGACUACCUACACCUGGACAGAAAGACCCUAUGAAGCUUUACUGUAGCCUGGAAUUGAAUUUGGGCUUUUCUUGCGCAGUCUAGGUGGGAGGCGUUGAUAGUUCCUUUCCGGAGGAGCUGGAGCCAUCAGUGAGAGACCACUCUGGAGAAGCUAGAAUUCUAAUGGCGAUCCUUGAAUCAGGACGCUUGACAGUUUCAGGUGGGCAGUUUGACUGGGGCGGUCGUCUCCUAAAAGGUAACGGAGAUGUGCAAAGGUUCCCUCAGGCUGGACGGAAAUCAGCCGAAGAGUGUAAAGGCAUAUGGGAGCUUGACUGCAAGACCUACAAGUCGAGCAGGGGCGAAAGCCGGCCUUAGUGAUCCGACGGUACCGAGUGGAAGGGCCGUCGCUCAACGGAUAAA